GACGAACGCUGGCGGCGCGCCUAACACAUGCAAGUCGAACGGAGCUGAGAGAAGCUUGCUUUUCUUAGCUUAGUGGCGAACGGGUGAGUAACGCGUGAGUAACCUGCCCUGGAGUGGGGGACAACAGUUGGAAACGACUGCUAAUACCGCAUAAGCCCACGAUCCGGCAUCGGAUUGAGGGAAAAGGAUUUAUUCGCUUCAGGAUGGACUCGCGUCCAAUUAGCUAGUUGGUGAGGUAACGGCCCACCAAGGCGACGAUUGGUAGCCGGACUGAGAGGUUGAACGGCCACAGUGGGACUGAGACACGGCCCAGACUCCUACGGGAGGCAGCAGUGGGGGAUAUUGCACAAUGGGGGAAACCCUGAUGCAGCGACGCCGCGUGGAGGAAGAAGGUUUUCGGAUUGUAAGCUCCUGUCGUUAGGGACGAUAAUGACGGUACCUAACAAGAAAGCACCGGCUAACUACGUG
rnacentral:rRNA from 1 species